rnacentral:rRNA from 1 species
AAUACCAUUUUCAACGACGGAUAUCUUGGUUCCCAUUACGAUGAAGAACGCAGCAAAGUGCGAUAAGCAAUGCGAAUUGCAGAAAACCGCGAGUCAUCAGAUUUUUGAAUGCAAUCGGCGCCAUGGGGCAACCCAAAGGCGUGUUUGUUUCAGUGUGCCCU